CUUGCUUCUCUUGAGAGCGGCGGACGGGUGAGUAAUGCCUAGGAAUCUGCCUGGUAGUGGGGGAUAACGUCCGGAAACGGACGCUAAUACCGCAUACGUCCUACGGGAGAAAGCAGGGGACCUUCGGGCCUUGCGCUAUCAGAUGAGCCUAGGUCGGAUUAGCUAGUUGGUGGGGUAAUGGCUCACCAAGGCGACGAUCCGUAACUGGUCUGAGAGGAUGAUCAGUCACACUGGAACUGAGACACGGUCCAGACUCCUACGGGAGGCAGCAGUGGGGAAUAUUGGACAAUGGGCGAAAGCCUGAUCCAGCCAUGCCGCGUGUGUGAAGAAGGUCUUCGGAUUGUAAAGCACUUUAAGUUGGGAGGAAGGGCAGUAAAUUAAUACUUUGCUGUUUUGACGUUACCGACAGAAUAAGCACCGGCUAACUCUGUGCCAGCAGCCGCGGUAAUACAGAGGGUGCAAGCGUUAAUCGGAAUUACUGGGCGUAAAGCGCGCGUAGGUGGUUCGUUAAGUUGGAUGUGAAAUCCCCGGGCUCAACCUGGGAACUGCAUUCAAAACUGAC
rnacentral:rRNA from 1 species